GGUUCCAUGGUGUAGCAGUUAGCAUGUCUGCUUUACACUCAGAAGGUCCUGGGUUUGCACCCCAGUGGAGCCA
rnacentral:tRNA from 1 species